rnacentral:rRNA from 1 species
GUAGGUGGCAAGCGUUGUCCGGGAUUAUUGGGCGUAAAGCGCGCGCAGGCGGUUCUUUAAGUCUGAUGUGAAAGCCCACGGCUCAACCGUGGAGGGUCAUUGGAAACUGGAGAACUUGAGUACAGAAGAGGAAAGCGGAGUUCCACGUGUAGCGGUGAAAUGCGUAGAGAUGUGGAGGAACACCAGUGGCGAAGGCGGCUUUCUGGUCUGUAACUGACGCUGAGGCGCGAAAGCGUGAGGAGCAAACAGGAUUAGAUACCCUGGUAGUCCACGCCGUAAACGAUGAGUGCUAAGUGUUAGGGGGUUUCCGCCCCCCUUAGUGCUGCAGCUAACGCAUUAAGCACUCCGCCUGGGAGUACGGCCGCAAGGCUG